rfam:Octopus bimaculoides Scaffold83201_contig_171, whole genome shotgun sequence.
GCUUACGGCCAUAUCACGUUGAAAGCACCGAUUCUCGUCCGUUCACUGAAGUUAAGCAGCAUCGAGCCUAGUUAGUACUUAGAUGGAUGACCGCUUGGGAAACCUAAGUGUUGUAAGCA